CGACCCCUGCGAAGGAGAAAAGCGGUGCAAGAGAACAGAAUUAGGCAUUAAACUACCCACCUCGGGGUGCUUGUGGUGAUGAUGAUGGGGGACGGGGGUGGGGAGGGGGCGCGUGUGAAAAGCGGAAUUUUGGGCCAAAAAUGAGGCAAAAGAUACAAUAUUUUAGGGGUAACGGCAGAGCGGGCGGGGAGGGGGGGGAAGGAGCGAUGGCGCCUGAGGCGGGGGAAACUGGAGGGGGGAGCUGAAGCGUGAGGGGGAGACAGAGGGCUCCGCCAUGGACGAGUGAAAAUGCGCAUUUCUGGGCAUUUUCACAUCCUUUUGCAAAGGCGGCGAGGAGAAAAGGGGAGGAGGGAGGGGGGGAAAGAAGAAGGUCAGGUUUCACCCGCAGCGCUUUCGCUGCCUGCCCGGAGGGAAUUCGCGCAAGAUCAGAGCCCCUCCGCCGUGCUCCUGGCACGGCCUCAGCCCGCGCCCGCCACCCCGGCCCCGCAGCCGCCCCUCGCCCAUCCUUCCCCUCGCUGCCCGCUCGCCGCCAUUUUGUCGCCUCACACCGCGGGCCCGCCGGGCGGCCAUUUUGUGAAGCGAGGCGGGGGGGGGCAGCGCCUGAGGCGGCCGUGAGGGGCAGCCCCGGCCGCCGCUUCCUUUUGUCAGCCAAAAACCUCCUUUUAGCAUUUGUUUCUCUUUUUCUUCACAAAACGUGUCGCCCUUAAUACGCCAUCAGGAGCCUGAUCACUUCAGCAAGAUCCGUCCUCGGACGAAGCAAUCCAAUAAAUGAGAUUAAAGCAUAUUCCCCAGGCUGGGCUUGAUGAGCCCCCAAGGUCAAUAAGCCGCCUUGACAAACAGGAUAACCUCUGCGAGAAAUAUCUGGGAUUUUUAAUAAAACACCUCACAGGCUCUACUGGACAGUCCAGCAAAAUAAAGAUGUAACUUAAACUGCUCAAAGCCAAA